rnacentral:ncRNA from 1 species
AUAGGUUGUAUGUUAAAUUUUUGAAUUAUCCAUUGAUAGGACGUGCCACACGAUACCUUAACCAAAGGGAUUGCUAUAUUUGUAAAAAUGGAGCUAAUCCUCAAAAUUGGUUAAUAAGAAUUGUAGUCUGAAAUUCGACUACAUGAAUAAGGAAUUACUAGUAAUCGUGAAUCACCACGUCACGGUGAAUCUAUUC